UUUAUCCUACGGGACGCAGCAGUGGGGAAUAUUGGGCAAUGGGCGCAAGCCUGACCCAGCAACGCCGCGUGAAGGAAGAAGGCUUUCGGGUUGUAAACUUCUUUUCUCAGGGACGAAGCAAGUGACGGUACCUGAGGAAUAAGCCACGGCUAACUACGUGCCAGCAGCCGCGGUAAUACGUAGGUGGCAAGCGUUAUCCGGAUUUACUGGGUGUAAAGGGCGUGUAGGCGGGAAAGCAAGUCAGAUGUGAAAACCAUGGGAU
rnacentral:rRNA from 1 species